GCUUUACUGUAGCCUGGAAUUGGUGUUCGGGCUUCGCUUGCGCAGGAUAGGUGGGAGGCUUUGAAGCUGCCCUUGUGGGGGUAGUGGAGCCAAUGGUGAGAUACCACUCUGGCGAGGCUAGGAUUCUAACCUUAUACCGUAAUCCGGUAAAGGAACAGUUUCAGGUGGGCAGUUUGACUGGGGCGGUCGCCUCCUAAAAGGUAACGGAGGCGCGCAAAGGUUCUCUCAGGCUGGUUGGAAAUCAGCUUUAGAGUGUAAAGGCAAAAGGGAGCUUGACUGCAAGAGUGACAACUCAAGCAGGGACGAAAGUCGGCCUUAGUGAUCCGACGGCACUGCAUGGAAGGGCCGUCGCUC
rnacentral:rRNA from 1 species